rfam:Sorghum bicolor cultivar BTx623 chromosome 9, whole genome shotgun sequence.
GUUGUCGUAUUCACUUCAAUCAAUCCAUGUGUGUUGGUGUGGGUUGGAGUGGAAUUUAGUUCAAGUUCUACUCCAAUCUACCUCAACACGUGUGGAUUGAUGUGAAUCCGACU